UCCAGGGUAGCCUAGUGGACAUGGCAUCUGCCCGGUAAGCGGAACACUGUGGGUUCGAUUCCCAUCCCUGGAC